CAUGAUUGUUAUUUUUGAUUUAAGUAAUAUAGUUUUCUCUUAUUUCUUUUAUGUUUUUACAGGUAUGAAGAGAAGAAGGCUAAUAAAGAACUAUCAAAGUCCUAAAAAAUCCCUCAAAGAUGUUGAAAAUGCUAGACUAGUGUCAUCCCCUAAUGCAAGAGGAAAUGAUCAUAUCUCAAUUUUCAAUUUUAUCCAAUUCUUAAAGUGUCAUCCCCUAAUAUUGUUUUUUCUUAUUUUUUUAUAUUAUUGCAGGUAUUAAAAGGAGAAGGCUUGUACAAUUUGAAGAGGAAGAAGAUGAACAUAUUGAACCGAAUGUUUUAUAUGCUAGAGAAAAUGUUCAUCUCUCAAAUGAUGAAAAUGUUAUGUUGGCACGAGAAAAAAGACAUCUUCCAAGUCAUUUUAGGUCAACAUCUUCUAAAGGCACGAGUCAACAAGAACAUAUAGCUCAAAGUUCAUCCAUUCAAAAUGAAGUUCAUAGUCAUAGCCUAUCAGAUGCUGAUUUUCUUAAUAAUGAAGAGGUAAAUGGAGUUGCUAUUUCUAGAAAGAAGUGGAACACCACAUGGUUUGUUAUUGUUGUAGG